CGCGGUUUGGCACCUCGAUGUCGGCUCAUCACAUCCUGGAGGGGGAGCACCUUCCAAGGGUCCGGCUGUUCGCCGGUUAAAGUGGUACGCGAGCUGGGUUCAGAACGUCGUUAGACAGUUCGGUUUAUAUCCGGCAUGAUCGUUAGGAAUUUUGAGGAGAUUUGUCUCUAGUACGAGAGGACCGAGAUGAACGAAUCUCUAGUGUACGGGUUGUGGUCACCUACUGCAUCGCCCGGUAGCUAUGUUCGGAAGAGAUAAGCGCUGAAAGCAUAUUAAGCGCGAAGCCCACUCCAAGAUAAGAAUUCCCUAUGGAGACUCCAGAGAGAAGAUCUGGUUGAUAGGCGCAAGGUGGAAGCACGGUAACGUGUGGAGCCGAAGCGUACUAAUAGGUCCAUCGCCUUUUUAUG
rnacentral:rRNA from 1 species